UACGUAGGGGGCAAGCGUUGUCCGGAUUUAUUGGGCGUAAAGAGCGUGUAGGCGGCCUGGAAGGUCAGCUGUGAAAACUCGAGGCUCAACCUCGAGACGUCGGUUGAAACCACCUGGCUAGAGUCCGGAAGAGGAGAGUGGAAUUCCCGGUGUAGCGGUGAAAUGCGCAGAUAUCGGGAAGAACACCCGUGGCGAAGGCGGCUCUCUGGGACGGUACCGACGCUGAGACGCGAAAGCGUGGGGAGCGAACAGG
rnacentral:rRNA from 1 species